AGUGGCGACCGGGUGAGUAACACGUGACUAACCUACCCUCGAGUGUGGAAUAACCACGGGAAACUGUGGCUAAUACCGCAUGAAGCCUGAGGGCCAAAGCUCGUGAGAGCGCCAUGGGAGGAGCCUGCGUCCGAUUAGCUUGUUGGUGGGGUAACGGCCUACCAAGGCUGUGAUCGGUAGCCGGUCUGAGAGGAUGGCCGGCCACACUGGAACUGCGACACGGUCCAGACUCCUACGGGAGGCAGCAGUGGGGAAUCUUGCGCAAUGGGCGAAAGCCUGACGCAGCAACGCCGCGUGGGGGAUGAAGCUUCUCGGAGUGUAAACCCCUUUCGACCCGGAAGAAUGUCCCGCAAGGGAUUGACGGUACGGGUAGAAGAAGCCCCGGCUAACUACGUGCCAGCAGCCGCGGUAAGACGUAGGGGGCCAGCGUUGUUCGGAAUUACUGGGUGUAAAGGGUUCGUAGGCGGUGUGGCAAGUCGGGAGUGAAAUCUCUGGGCUCAACUCAGAGGCUGCUUCCGAAACUGCUGUGCUUGAGUGUGGGAGAGGCGCGUGGAAUUGCAGGUGUAGCGGUGAAAUGCGUAGAUAUCUGCAGGAACACCCGUGGCGAAAGCGGCGCGCUGGACCACAACUGACGCUGAGGAACGAAAGCUAGGGGAGCAAACAGGAUUAGAUACCCUGGUAGUCCUAGCCCUAAACGAUCAGGACUUGGGGUGCCACCCGUUCGGGUGUCGUCCCGGAGCUAACGCGUUAAGUCCUGCACCUGGGGAGUACGGUCGCAAGACUGAAACUCAAAGGAAUUGACGGGGGCCCGCACAAGCGGUGGAACAUGUGGUUCAUUCGA
rnacentral:rRNA from 1 species